GGCCCGAUAGCUCAGCUGGUAGAGCAAGGGACUGAAAAUCCCUGUGUCGAGGGUUCGACUCCCCCUUGGGCCACCA
rnacentral:tRNA from 2 species